rnacentral:rRNA from 11 species
CUCUACAGGGCCCAAUUGUUUUAAAGGCAACAAAUGCAGCCUGGUCUUCAAAGCUAAGCAGGGGCAGCCCUGGUGGAUACUUGGGUGGGAUACCACCAACGAACACCACGUGCUGUGGGGC